rnacentral:rRNA from 1 species
GAUGAACGCUGGCGGCGUGCCUAAUACAUGCAAGUCGAGCGAACAGACGAGGAGCUUGCUCCUCUGACGUUAGCGGCGGACGGGUGAGUAACACGUGGAUAACCUACCUAUAAGACUGGGAUAACUUCGGGAAACCGGAGCUAAUACCGGAUAAUAUAUUGAACCGCAUGGUUCAAUAGUGAAAGACGGUUUUGCUGUCACUUAUAGAUGGAUCCGCGCCGCAUUAGCUAGUUGGUAAGGUAACGGCUUACCAAGGCAACGAUGCGUAGCCGACCUGAGAGGGUGAUCGGCCACACUGGAACUGAGACACGGUCCAGACUCCUACGGGAGGCAGCAGUAGGGAAUCUUCCGCAAUGGGCGAAAGCUUGACGGAGCAACGCCGCGUGAGUGAUGAAGGUCUUCGGAUCGUAAAACUCUGUUAUUAGGGAAGAACAAAUGUGUAAGUAACUAUGCACGCCUUGACGGUACCUAAUCAGAAAGCCACGGCUAACUACG